rnacentral:rRNA from 1 species
GAAGGUAGCGUAAUCAUUUGUCUUUUAAAUAGAGACCUGUAUGAAUGGCAUAACGAGGGUUUAACUGUCUCCCUCCCCCAGUCAAUGAAAUUGAUCUGCCCGUGCAGAAGCGGACAUAAACACAUAAGACGAGAAGACCCUAUGGAGCUUUAGACAAAAGAUCAAACAUGUAAAGAAACCAAACCAACCAAAAGGAACACAAAGGCCACAAAACCCAACGUAAAAUGAUCAAAAUGUCUUCGGUUGGGGCGACCAUGGGGGAAAGAAAAGCCCCCACGAGGAACUAGGGGCAAUCCAUUAAGCCAAGAGAUACACCUCUAAGCAACAGAAAAUCUGACCAAAAAUGACCCAGGACACUAAUCCUGAUCAACGAACCAAGUUACCCUAGGGAUAACAGCGCAAUCCUUUCCCAGAGUCCAUAUCGACGAAAGGGUUUACGACCUCGAUGUUGGAUCAGGACAUCCUAAUGGUGCAGCCGCUAUUAAGGGUUCGUUUGUUCAACGAUUAA